AGUCGUAACAAGGUUUCCGUAGGUGAACCUGCGGAAGGAUCAUUGUCGAACCCUGCAUAGCAGAAUGACACGUGAACAAGUAAAGACACUCGGCUGAGCUAGGGCCGUACGUUAUGUUUUGGUCCUUGCGAUGCCUUGUCAGCUUGUGUGUAUGUUGCCCCGUACAUACUGGGCUUCAUGGAUAUCAUGCUGACAUAAUAACAAACCCCCGGCACGGGACGUGCCAAGGAUAAAUAAACUUAAAAGGGCUUGUGCUAUUGCGCCCCGUUUGCGGUGUGCGCAUUGUACUGGUGCCUUUGUAAACUUAAAACGACUCUCGGCAACGGAUAUCUCGGCUCAC
rnacentral:misc_RNA from 1 species